rnacentral:tRNA from 1 species
GGUGGCUCAGUGGUAGAGUGCUUGCCUAGCACGCAUGAAACCCUGGGUUCCAUUCCUCAGCACCA